UGUAGCGUAGCUCGGUUAUCACGUCCCGCCUUAAAGCGGGAAGGCCGCAGGUUCGAAUCCUGCCA
rnacentral:tRNA from 1 species